rnacentral:rRNA from 1 species
AUCUGGGCGGCGGAAUUCAGGAUGACUGGCGUGCUCUCGCGGGUGCGUCGGUCGUUUGAUAUUUCCGUCGCCGAUCAACCGCAGACGUCGCGACCUGUUCGCGGUCGGUCCUUGCUCGGAGGAGCCGCGAUCGAGUUCGUUGCGUGCGCGUUUCGGCGUGUCACGCGGCGAAGACGCGGAUCUCUGGCUGGCCGUCGGACAGUAUGCUUAACGGUGUCCGGUGUCGUCGUCUCGUACGCGCGUGCACCGGUACCGGUCAGCGACGAAUUCUUCGGGCCUCUUUCCGACCCGUCUUGAAACACGGACCAAGGAGUCUAACAUGCGCGCGAGUCGCGGGGUGUCGAGCGUACCUCGGUACGUUCGUUACGUUGCGAAACCCGUACAUGUCGAAGGCGUAAUGAAAGUGAAUGGGGAAGAUGGUGUUCCGAGUACACGUUCCGUGAUCAUCGGUAUUGCGGCCGGACACCCGCAUUCCCAGGGCGUCUCAACGGCCCGUCGCUGAUGCGGACAGUUGUCUUUCGGGGCGGCUGUCGGUCGGCGACGAACCGA